rnacentral:rRNA from 1 species
CCAUACGACCGUACCGCAAACCGACACUGGUGCGCGAGAUGAGUAUUCUAAGGCGCUUGAGAGAACUCAGGAGAAGGAACUCGGCAAAUUGACACCGUAACUUCGGAAGAAGGUGUGCCUUAUUAGUGUGAAGUGAACAACGGAGCAUGAAUGGGUUGCAAAAAAUCGGUGGCUGCGACUGUUUAUUAAAAACACAGCACUCUGCAAACACGAAAGUGGACGUAUAGGGUGUGACGCCUGCCCGGUGCUGGAAGAUUAAAUGAUGGGGUGCAAGCUCUUGAUUGAAGUCCCAGUAAACGGCGGCCGUAACGAUAACGGUCCUAAGGUAGCGAAAUUCCUUGUCGGGUAAGUUCCGACCUGCACGAAUGGCGUAACGAUGGCCACACUGUCUCCUCCUGAGACUCAGCGAAGUUGAAAUGUUUGUGAUGAUGCAAUCUCCCCGCGGAAAGACGGAAAGACCCCAUGAACCUUUACUGUAGCUUUGUAUUGGACUUUGAACAGAUCUGUGUAGGAUAGGUGGGAGGCUUUGAAGCAGGGUCGCUAGAUCUUGUGGAGCCAACGUUGAAAUACCACCCUGGUGUGUUUGAGGUUCUAACCUAGGUCCAUUAUCUGGAUCGGGGACAGUGCAUGGUAGGCAGUUUGACUGGGGCGGUCUCCUCCCAAAGCGUAACGGAGGAGUUCGAAGGUACGCUAGUUACGGUCGGACAUCGUGACGAUAGUGCAAUGGCAUAAGCGUGCUUAACUGCGAGACUGACAAGUCGAGCAGAUGCGAAAGCAGGACAUAGUGAUCCGGUGGUUCUGUAUGGAAGGGCCAUCGCUCAACGGAUAAAAGGUACUCUGGGGAUAACAGGCUGAUACCGCCCAAGAGUCCAUAUCGACGGCGGUGUUUGGCACCUCGAUGUCGGCUCAUCUCAUCCUGGGGCUGUAGCCGGUCCCAAGGGUAUGGCUGUUCGCCAUUUAAAGAGGUACGUGAGCUGGGUUUAAAACGUCGUGAGACAGUUUGGUCCCUAUCUUCCGUGGGCGCUGCAGAUUUGAGGAAGCCUGCUCCUAGUACGAGAGGACCGGAGUGGACACACCUCUGGUGUAUCGGUUGUCACGCCAGUGGCAUUGCCGAGUAGCUAAGUGUGGAAGAGAUAACCGCUGAAAGCAUCUAAGCGGGAAACUCGUUUCAAGAUGAGAUCUGCCGGGGCCUUGAGCCCCCUGAAGAGUCGUUCAAGACCAGGACGUUGAUAGGUCAGGUGUGGAAGCCAAAAG